CCUACGGGAGGCAGCAGUGAGGAAUAUUGGUCAAUGGGCUUACGCCUGAACCAGCCAAGUCGCGUGAGGGAAGACUGCCCUAUGGGUUGUAAACCUCUUUUGUCAGGGAGCAACGCCGGCUACGUGUAGCCGGACUGAGAGUACCUGAAGAAAAAGCAUCGGCUAACUCCGUGCCAGCAGCCGCGGUAAUACGGAGGAUGCGAGCGUUAUCCGGAUUUAUUGGGUUUAAAGGGUGCGUAGGCGGAAUGCCAAGUCAGCGGUAAAAUCGCGGGGCUCAACCUCGCUCCGCGGUUGAAACUGGCGGUCUUGAGUGGGCGAGAAGUAUGCGGAAUGCGUGGUGUAGCGGUGAAAUGCAUAGAUAUCACGCAGAACUCCGAUUGCGAAGGCAGCAUACCGGCGCCCAACUGACGCUGAAGCACGAAAGCGUGGGUAUCGAACAGGAUUAGAUACCCCAGUAGUC
rnacentral:rRNA from 1 species